CCUACGGGAGGCAGCAGUGGGGAAUCUUGCGCAAUGGGCGAAAGCCUGACGCAGCCAUGCCGCGUGAAUGAUGAAGGUCUUAGGAUUGUAAAAUUCUUUCACCGGGGACGAUAAUGACGGUACCCGGAGAAGAAGCCCCGGCUAACUUCGUGCCAGCAGCCGCGGUAAUACGAAGGGGGCUAGCGUUGCUCGGAAUUACUGGGCGUAAAGGGAGCGUAGGCGGAUAGUUUAGUCAGAGGUGAAAGCCCAGGGCUCAACCUUGGAAUUGCCUUUGAUACUGGCUAUCUUGAGUACGGAAGAGGUAUGUGGAACUCCGAGUGUAGAGGUGAAAUUCGUAGAUAUUCGGAAGAACACCAGUGGCGAAGGCGACAUACUGGUCCGUUACUGACGCUGAGGCUCGAAAGCGUGGGGAGCAAACAGGAUUAGAUACCCUGGUAGUCCACGCUGUAAACGAUGAGUGNUAGUUGUCGGCGAGCGAUGCUCGUCGGUGACGCNGCUACGACAUAAGACACUCCGCCGUCGGGAGGUACGGUCGCGAGAGUAAACUAACUAAGAAGUUAGUUAGCGUUGAGAGNGCCGACGGACGACGACGAGGGAGGAGG
rnacentral:rRNA from 1 species